ACAGUCUUCCAGCUAGCAGACCAGAAAGGUCAGUCACACUGGAAGAAGUUAAAACGGUGAUCUCGCCUCAUUUGAACCCUGUCAAAGUGGAAUUUUCAAGGACUCGAUGCGGUCGAGAUCUUCUGCUCCCCCAUGUUUUAAAUAGGGUCACCGAGCUGGAAUGAGGGCGGACUGACAACGAUGCCGAAACCUACUUGGCACAGCGCUGUGAUCACAGAGCCAGACAUGAGGAAAAAUAUGCAAAGAAACUGGGUUGGUCAAUAAAAGGCAGAGAGGAAGCAAAGAGGGGGACACUGUAGCAAUAAUUGUGUGGUUUUAAAUAGUUUGCAUCAUACAAUGACAAUAAAACUGAAGUAUGUAUUGUAGAGGCAAUUUCAAAUCAAUGUCCUAAACAAAGCAGUGGCGAACUGUCCAAGAGCACAGUGAAAGCAGCCAAACCAGAUUCUGAGGCCUGAAACUACGAAGUUUUCAGUGCGGACCACACUCUCUGUUCUACAUACAAAUGUUGUGUCUCGAACUCUUUUGCCUUCCUCUCCUCCUCUCUUCUGGGCGGGGCAGAGCGGAAAAAGAGACAAAUUAAAGAACGACAGAAAAAAAAAAGUAAAAAAAGAAAUCCCCCCGCAAAACACACGUGUCUGCGCUAAUCUGUCAGCUGUAAUUCCUGUAUUAUUAAAAAGAGAUACGGUCAUUUGUGGUGUAAUUACACCCACACCCUUUUCCCUUCUGACAGGAGGAAAUGCAUUCCAGGCAUCUUUGCUCUGAGCGUUUACUACACUCUGACAUGCUGUCACGCUUAUCUGAUGGUGUAGUCUCCUUCUGUCAGCCAGAGUGAGACAAAAACAGAAAACCACGGUGCCCACAGGUGAAUUUCAGGAGUUGCUCCUUAGAAAAAGACACGCACACCUUCAUGCCUGCAAGCACAUACAAAUGUAAUGACAGGUUUGACAAAGCAGAGACAAAUGGUUUUUCACACUUGCUCUUAGGUAUCAGCAUUAGUGCUGAAAGACAGUCUCCAAAUCAGCCAAAGAUUUGGCAGAAAAUCCUGCAUGGCAUUCGUGUCUCAAUCAGC
ensembl:lncRNA